ensembl:lncRNA
UGUGAUUAAUAUAAUAAAAUAAAAAUUAAUAGUAUCUUAUGUAUUUCAUCAUUAUUUUUGUGCUACAUGUUCGUAGUACUUAAUUUAUACAUUCUUUGUGGGGAGUUGGCACAUAUACAUAACACAUUUUAAUUCUUUUUCUCUCCCUCCAUCUCUUGACCCCCUCCUCUGUUUAAAAAGAUCUCCUCCCUGCUUCCUAUUAUCAAUCUUUUAUUUUGCUCUUCAUUAUUAUUCAAAUACUUCUAGUAUAUUACCCCUCCAGUGUCAGAGACCAGCCAGUUGUAGAAGAAUAAACGAUUCUGAUAGACAAAAUAUAUGGGAAGUAUAGGCAGAAGCAGCUACUUAUAACAAUGCUGAGGUCCAUGUAGAAAAUUCCAACACUGCUGUUAUCAACAUCUCUUUUAAUCUCAUGCAGCAAAAUAAAUUAAAAGGUUGACUAACAUAAUUUAGGCAUCUGGGAAAGAAAAGUGCAUAUACCUAAAAUGACUCAAAAAUUGACUAUACAAAACUAAAGAUUAUUAUUUUAUUAAGAUGCUGCCUAGCCAACAUUCCUCCUACAUUUGAUAGAGUGUUUUCAAAAGUCUACUGUGAGUGAUACCUUCCAGUGUAUUUUCUAUUUUAUUGAUGAGUUGAAAUUUCAACCUUAUUUUAUUGAAACAUAAAAAUAUAAAAGGAAGAAUUAUUUCUAGGAAGUUGCAUCAUAUUAUUUCUGAUGACUUUUGUUGGUAAAAUGGUGUUUCACUGGACAUCCAUGCCGAAAGAAAAUGAAAAGGUUUCAUAUAGUAAAGGUGUUCUGGAGUAAUUCCUUUAGUUAUGAUAGAGUAAGGCGAGAAAGGUAGUGACCUUAUAGUCUCCCUAUGAUCCAGAAUGGUAGAAAAUGUAAAACUAAAUAUAGAAAAAGAGAAAGUUAGUGAAUAUAUUUGCAUAUGCAAAUUAGCUUAAUUGAUACUGCUUGCCUCUACAGGGAUUUUUCAUUACAAACUGGAGUGCUACAUUGUUCAGCUCAUAUUGAGUAAUUUAGUAACUAAUGAGACCAGUUUGCACUAAUUUGCAUAUGAUAAAUGAGCUUAAUUGCAGUAAAUAACUUGGAGGCAUAAUUACUUAAUUUUCCUGUGUUGCACGGCUUUUUAAGUUCACGUAUGAACAACUCAAGAUAAUUUUGCAUAUUUAAAUUAGUUGCUUUUAAAUUUUCUUGAACAACAACAGAAAAAGAACACACCUUAUCAAUUGAGCUGUAAAACAAUCAAAAGUAAGGAUGGAAGUAUUUUUAUUUACAAAGAAAAAAAUAGGAAAGAAAAGCAGAAAUUUUUGAAGUCUGUUUUUUGCCUUUCCCACAUCUCCACUUCAAAUAAGAUAUCAGCACUAACACUUCAGAAAAUAUUUUUAAUGUUGAAAGUUAAUUCACAACUUGUAGUAGCUGACCUGGCUUACUGUCUGUAUAUGAAUGAGUUAUAAAUUUUGAAAUAGUUUAUAAAAGAGAUGUGAUGUGUCUGUUGCCUACCUUGGCAAAAUGUUAUCAAGGUAGACAGUGGGAUUCCCCCAUCUGUGAUGUGUAGUCCCUUCUGCAUUGCUGGAUUUUAAUGAAGCAGGCAUCACUCUGAACCCAGUAUUUGUUUUCUAAGUUAAUAUUUCAUACUUAAGAGAAUUGCUUUCAUUGGAGAAUCUUGGUUUUAUUUGACAAAAAAUAUCUCACUGAUUUUUAUAUGACCUGAAGAACAUACUGUAUGUUUUAUCAAAAUCCCUAUUCUUAAAUUUGAAAAACUAAACACAGAGUUGAUGGUAAACCAUUAUUUCAUGGCAUCAUGCUGCCUUAAACUUUCAUUUUUGGGGGAAAAAAUAAUUUAUUAUUCAGAACUAACUUAGGCCAUAUGAAAAUCAUAUUCAUGAUUAUAAAAGAUAUUACAUAGUUGUGAAAGUUUAAAACCUGUCUUGUAAAAAAUUCAUCACUGCUUUAACUCAUUAUGUAUAAAAAUAGAAGAGAAUGUUAGGGGAUGUUAGGGCUGUUCACUGCCUACAAUCUGGAAUGAUAACUCAUGCAAAUUUUCUCUGAAAAACUCAGAUCCUACCACAUUCAGUGUAAGCUUCCUAUAUCUUUCACAUUUGUGCCAGAACUAGUACCAACAUCAGUAUAUUUAGAGUGUACAGCUUGAGUCUUUUGUAUAAUAGAUUCUCAGGAAAUACCUGUUGAAUAAAUGAAUAAAUCCCACCAGGCAAAGUCAGAGUGAACCUCAGAACCCAGGGCCUUGAAUCACCCUUGUGUACCCAGUUCAGUGUUCAUCCACAUCACAUCCUCUGGACAUGGGAGAGAGUAAGCAGAGUCACAAAGUUCAUGAAUUUUCACCUCCAGCCAAUCUGAAUUCACAGCUCAGCUUGCUCGUUUAUUAACUGUACGAAAUAAAAUGAUCUCUUGCUCUCCCUGAGCUUUGAAUUCUUCAUCUUUGAAAUAGCAGAAGUAGUGGUAAAUGUUUUCCUGGAGGCAGGUUGUUAGGAUUGAUGUGGGUAGUGUAGUUAAAACUGCUUAGAGUAGAAUCAGUGUCUAAAAAAGUAUUUGAUAAACAUCUGCUGUGUUGGGUCGUCUAGAAUGAUGUUCAUGAUUUGAUGAAACACACUAAUGCUCAUUAGGACCAUCAUCAAUAUUAAAAUAAAGGAACAUCAUCUGCAAUACCAUUUCAGGUUAAAAACAGGAUAACUUUCAUUCAAUGCAACAAAAAUCGUUUAUAUUAUAGAUUUGUAUUUCAAAGUAUAUGUUAAUUCAGAACAAAACAUUUAAAAUUUGGUAGUAACAAUGUAUUUUUUAUUCUAAUGGAAAUUCUCUUAAAAACCAGGGAAGCUGUCUGACUGCUUUCAUAAUCAACUUAGAAGCAUCUAGGAAAAAUAGGACUUGUAAAGGGACUCCAGAGUCAAAAUUUCCUGUAGACUCAAAAGGGACAUAUCAUUAUUCUUCUUAUCAGAUUCUAUCACCUCCUCAACUGGGUAAGAAAAAUGGGAAUAAGCAGUCAAUCAGAAUUCCAGAAGAUCUAAAAGGUAGAACCAUUGCUAUAAAUUAUGUUAGCAAUAUAUUGAAGAGCACAUAGUAUUUUCUCGAUGCAUGCUGCACAAAAUCUAUCAUCUAUCAUGUCAAAAGGGUCUCUUUUCACAUCAAGAUCAGAAGGCAGAGUUUCUUAGAGGGAUUUUCAUGAUGGUGUGUAUAUAUGUGGCAUAUACACAUCAUUCCGGGUUUUUAUAUACCUUGAUAAGUUUGAUUUGCCAUUAUUUGCUGAGAAACACUCUGAGAGGUGUGGGGUAGGAGAAGGGUUUGAGGAAUUCCUCCACAAUAUUAUUACUUGGUAUUGUAUUGGUAUUACGUGGUGGUAUUUGGCUACUAGAAUGAAAUAAGUAAAUAGGGACUUUCUAGUCACAAAAGUAUUUAUUUUGGUGACCAAAAACUAAGAGAGACAAUAUGCUGUACCUAAAAGCACUAAGCUUCAGUUCAGUAAAUAUUUACUGGGUGCCUAAUCUGCACCAGACUGGAAGAAAUAGUGGGAUACAAAAUGAGCCACGAUUUUGCUUACCAACAUCCCCAUUAUGAGUGGAGAAGACCAAUAAGAAAACUGACCAAUACAGUUCUAUGUAAGUUGAAACUUAUUUCAACUUUCCAGGUCUCAAUUUCUUCAAUCCAAAAUGAAGAUAGUAGCACUUCUUAUCUCACAGAAUGCUGCAAGUAUUAGAUGAGCUGACUACCCCAAGUGCCUAGUUUGGAUGAGAUACUACACAUACUAUUAAAUGAGAUAUUACAGACUGAACACAUAGUGAGUGUGCAAGUGAAGUUGCCUGUUACAGAGGCUGGUGCUUAGAAACAACAGGAGGGAAUUGAGUUACCCAGCCUGCGGCCAGUCAAUGAGCACUUCUAACCACAAACUUACACAGUUUACUCCCUCCAGACAUAAUUUUUAUAGUCUGGUGUUUAUAUAGGUCCCUGAAGGAGUACUUUGAAGAUUGAAUCCUCCUUCUGAAACAUGCUUUCUCUCGUAGCAUCUCAUAUUUGGUAGAGAAUGGGGCUGGGCAAAAAGGGCAGCAAUAUCGCUGUGAUCAGGAAGAUUUUGUUUGGGAGCAUCCUGAUAAGAUUAUUGUUGGCAAGGUAUGAAAACUUUCAUUCUUCCUUUCUCAGGUAAUCUUAUAGCUUAUGUCUAGAUGUCCCUGUAAAGCCUCAUGCAGUCAUAGGUGGGGCUUUUCAAAGGUGGCUGGGAUGCUGGGAUUAAGGAUGUGAUACUGGGAUUAAAGGUGAAUGAUUAGUAAACUAGUCCACUGAUUGAUUUGGUAUAGUUCUAGGUGUGGAUAAUGAGAAGGCUCACCCUGGGUGUGGGUGGCACCACCCAAAAGUCAGGAAGCCUGAAAGGGAUAAAAGAGAGACAGGCUGUGGCUGCUACUGUUUCCUUGCUGCUCAGCUGCUUUGCUACCAUUUGCCCACCAUGAACCUUUUUUCUCCUCUGCAAUACCCCUCUGCCAUGCCACCCUGCCUUGGAGCCAGCUGACUAUGAACUGAAAUCUCACUAACUUUGAACCAAGUAAACCUUUCUUCCUUUAACUUUGGAUGAUAGGUAUUGUAUUAGCAAUGAGAAAAGUAACUAAGAUUGCACUAAGGAUGGUUGAAUUAUUUGGAGUUUAAAGUGGGGGAGGAAAUAAUUAUACUGUUGAUUUUAAAAUGGACAAAGGUUUUAGGAAAUGAUAAGCUUAUGUAUUAAAUAUGAAUGUGAAUAAUUUUUGUACUUGUAGGUUUUAAUACCUCUACGGUGAUGCAUAGAUUUGCAAAUCUGUGCCAGAGUGGUAUUACUCUUGGCUUUACAAUAGUCUUUGGUGGCAGUAGAUAUCAUGUUCUUGUUACCCAGAUAGGCUAGGAAUGACAUGGAUGGAGUGACAUCAGCAAAGUGGACCAUGGACCCACAACUCAGUCAGUGUGGCCAGACUACUUUCCCAUUUCAGUAUGCAGAACUUCAAAGCCUUUUGUGGUUUAUUUGGGUGUGAGAAAGGAUUGAAGAUGGGUAGAUGAUAAUUUGUAUUGUUUCUCAAACUGAGCUGUUCACAGACACCUGUGAAGAUCCUGGAACAGAAGUAUUCUGCAAAAGACACUUGGGAAAAGUGGCUUGAAAGAAUGAAACUAGAAUUAUUUUAAGGUUUUAAACCUUAUUAUACUGUACCUUAUUAUACUGUAAUGUCCCAUCUGUAAUCUACUUCACGAGCUUUUAAAGACAGAUUAUUACAGAAGAAUCAUUCAUAAAUACUUUCCUGUACCCGCACGUGGUUAAAUACCACUUUGAUAAUUGUGUGGGUGAGAAGAGGAUGAGAAAAUGUUGGAAAUCAAAGCAUGCAGAUAAGAAAAAAGAAAAUAAAUAUUAAGUAUUUGACUUUCUAUAAAUCAAGCAAAAUGGAGUUGUCAUCUUUGUACCUUGAAAACAGUUGUGGAAGGAAGAGUUGAUUUCAAGAACAGGGUUUCCAACAGCAUCUCAUGGCUGAUACAUAUUUGCAAAUGAUUUUCUUCUUCUGACUGACCUGAGUAAUCCUGUAGCUGUUAAAGAUCAUAAAAAGAUCUGUGGGCACCAACAAUAAAAGCUGUGGGGACCCUGCUGAGGAGCGGGGAGCUGCAGGUGUGCAGUCCAAGAGCAGGUCAGAUGCUCCUGGUCACCCAAUCUCCAGCUGUGUUUAUUACUGUCUGCUUGCUCUUUGUGAAUAUCACUUACCAGACACUUGCCAGUUUAGGAUCUGAUGAUUUAUGAUUGCAAGGGAAGACAUCCAUGGGACAAUGUUAUUUGAUGACAGUGUAAUAGAGCCCUAUCUAAGAAAAAAAGUAUCAUUUUGCUUCAUCUCUGUUGAGAAAUAUAAAACAUUUGGAGGAAUUAGUGAAAUUAUUGAAACUUUUGUUGUUCUGUAUGAAUAAAACACGUAAGCAGUGGUUGGAUUACCCACACAGAAGAGUCUAGUCAAAUUCCCAUGGGGUUGGAUAACUGCUGCAGGAAUUGCCUGGUCCAAACAACUCUUUCCCUCCUUGCCAAAGAUGUAAAAAAUGCUGGUGACCCUUUAGGUCACCAGAAAAAAUACCUUCUGAAAUAAUCCACUCUUAUACUUCAUUUUAGGUUGAGACAGUGAUUUAGUAAAUUUUGUCUGGUGUAGAGAUUAGACCAAGGGUAGAAUUGACCUAAAGAGACAGAAAAUUCUUCUUUUUUAAUUUUUAAAAAAUUUUGUAAGUGGGAAGCCUGUGAGUUCUACCUAAAUACAAAGGCAAAUGAUAAUAUCAAUGGCUAUUUUAAUUGCAUCUUUAAUCCAUAAGGAUAGUUCAAUGACAUUUUAAAUUAUACUUUUAGAAUUGUAGUCACAUAGGAGAUAAAACUCAGUAACUAUUUAAUAAUGCAUAGUAAGAUCAACUGUAUCCUCUCUUGAGAUUACAUUUAGGUGGACUGAAUGUAAAAACCCAAUCCAGAAUUUAGACAGCAUUUAAUCUUCUGGAAGUCAUUGCUGAAUCUUUCUAAAUAUAAAACACCCAGGCCUAGUCCUGUGAGUUGGUACCUAUUAUCUCUACUCAGUGAUUAGUUUCACUGAAUUCAGAGCUAAGCUAUAUAAUUUUUAUGAGGAAUUAGAUUACUGUAGAUCAAACUAUUGUCAGUGCUGAAAAGUUACUAAUCAGCUUGAGAAAUUUAUGUGACUGAUUGGUAAUUAGUUGCUAAUCAUUCACCUUGAAUUUAUCCUGUGUCUAUAAUAUAGCUAAGCUCUUUUUGGUGGAGAAAAGGGGAUAAAGUGACUUGCUUAAGGUCUCACCAGCUGUUAGUAACUGGCAUAUCUGGGAUUUGAACCCCCAGGUAGAAGUAAGAGAGAGAGAGCGCGAGAGAGAGAGAGAGAGAGAGAGAGAGAGAGAGAGAGAGAGAGAGAGAAGUGAAUUAUAAGGGAAAUGUUAGGUAUUCAAUUAUUUUACAAUAAAAGUUUUUCGAGUGACUAAAAAUACUUUAAAGCAUGGUUUGAAUGGAAAGUAGAGGACGUUUCACUUUUGUUUAAUAAAGAAAUCUUUGCCCUGAGCAGAAGACAACAUUUUAAAGCUUGUCAUUUUAUUCCUGGGAAAGUAUUUGAGGAAAAUGACAUGGCUCAGCCCUGUUUGCUGACCAUUUUGUUGUCUCCUGCUGAGACUUGCCAUUUCCAUAGCCAGUGGGCUGUACCGAAUCAGACAGAAGCAAUAGAUCAUUAACAGAAAUGGAUACUUGGGGCAGCCUGCAGAGAGAAAGCAGGAAAAAAUCAUUUGGGGCCACAUCAACGAAACUACGUCUAAUAGAAUCUCAAGCAACUGUGUGCGAGGGAAUAAUUUUCAGAGAAGUUUAAGAAGUAGUUUCUUAAACAAAGUAGUUUCUCCCUAAAAAGUUUCAUGCCUAAUAUGAAAAUACAGAUGGAGAGGAUGCUCAUUUCUACAUGCUGCAUUUUCUCCUAUUGAAAAAUCAUUGAUUAAAAUCCAUUUAGUUAAAAAAAAAUCCAGGUUUUAUUUUCCUACUGAGCCUGUAUUAACCUUGAGAUCUUUAAUGCAUAACACUAAUCCAAACUAGGAUUAUACUAUUUAUUUUAAUCAAUAUCUAUCCUUGGUGAUUCUUCUGGAUUAUUGUAAUUGGGAGAUGGGGCUGGGAGACAGGUUUUGCUGAGAUUACUGCCAAUUAUUUUUAGUCUUCAUGAAGUUUUAUAUAUAUUUAUACAGAUAUACACCUCUAUAUAUGUAUAUACACAUAUAAAUGCAUACAUACACAUAUAUACAUAUGCACAUAUAUACAUAUAAUAUACAUAUGCAUAUACUGCUCCUUUUAAAUGUAGACGGUUUUAGUUGAAGCAGAAAAAAAUACAAAUGCUGCAUAUAACAUUAAAUAAGCAUUCACAGGCAGCUUGCUAUAUGAGGCUCACCAAAUACAGCCUUGAGGAGACUUUAGAUGGUUUUCUUUCUCUUAAUUAUAUAAUAUAUUUCUGUAUUUUAACAUGAAGUUAAGGGUGUAGAUUUGGAUACAGAACAUAAAGUUUCAAUGAUUGCAUUUAUAAUUGAGUAAAAUUUAAGAACUAGAAUACCAUUUUCAUAUUCUUGCAUCAUUCAUAUGCUGAAAAAUUUCCUCAUUUGCUUAUACAUGAAUGUAUUCAUAUGAGUUUUCUUAGGGGGAUAAAAAACCCAAAUAGUUGCACACAUGUCUUAGGCCUCCUCUUAUAUUUUAUGCUUCUUGAAAAUCGGGAUCAUGUCCUGUUUGUGUCUUCCAGAAUGUUUUCUUAGUACAGUGGUGGUGAGCUUAUGGUGUGCAUGCUGCAGUGGGCCGUUUGUAUCAUCACAAGCUCUAGGUUCACAAUAGUCCCAGGGUGUGCGCAUGGCACCAUAGAGGAUCAUUGGUUACUUGGAGGACAAGACUUAGUUCAAUCACUGAGGGACCCAGAGGAGCUAUCUCAACCAAGAGUGCCCAGCAUUCCAGCAUUAGGGAGACUCCCAGGAGAAGCCCUGAAGCCAAAAAAGCCUCUCCAGCUUUUUUUUAGAAUAUUAUCAGUGUAAGUGGAAAAAACAGAAGAAAAACCGAAGUUUGGGCAAGGAGUUGUCUCAGGCUAGGCAGUUUUUCUUGGAGAAAGGGGAAGGAUGAUGGCCAGAAACAACAUACUUCACUAAUCUAAAUUUCUUCUUGUUUAACCUUUCAUUUCUCAUAGAACCUGUGCAUUUUUACCACACAGUUUAACCAUUCACUCUUCACAGAGCCUGUGUGCUUUUGACCCUCAGUUUAACCAUUGGCUUUUGCCUCAAAGUUUAACCAUUUACUCCUCAGCCAAGGAGUGAUAGCCCACACACCAUCACUGUCUUAGGAGGUGCCCAGUACUUUUGUAGAAUUGACUUUAAUUUGUGUAGACAACACAUGGAACUUCUAACCAACUGAUUAUUCUCAUUUGUUUGGGGUACCAUCACUGAGAAAUCAGUGAUACUAAAUGAUUCCAAAGUCUAUUCUUAUCACUUGAAGAGUAGAAUUAAUGCAUUAUGCACCCAAGUCCCUGUGCACCAAUAUGAGAAUGUCCUUCUCAGCCAGAAGGUCAUUAAAGAAAACACAAUCCUAUCAUAAUGUCAUUUUACCCUUAAUUUUCUGAUUACUUACAUUUGGCUUGGUCCUAAUUAUAAGUACCUCUAAUUGCUUUAUCACAGUGGUGAUUAACUGUGCCCAAGUCAAACCCCUUUGAAAGAGAGAACAACUCCUGAAGGUUUUGCACAGAUGCACUUAGGAGAAAUAUUAAACAAAGGGCUAGAGGUUUUCUAACUUCCGAAAGGCUGGUCAGCCCUCUUACAUUUCUAGUGAAUCUUCCUUCGAGACCCAGGAGUGAUUUUCAUUUUGGAAUUUUUGAGAACUAGAGCUCAGUGUUCUAACUGUUCCUUUCCCAGGAUGUCAUAUAAUCUUCUUUGCUAUUUACAUUAAUCAUUCUGCCAGAAGGCAAUAUUGGAAAUAAUGUACAUACCAACUCUUCUCUAGAAUAUAAAAAAAAAUUUAAACUUUGAGAUCCACAUAAUAACCUUGAAGGAGCACAUAGGUAUAUUUGCCUUUAUUAUUUUCCAUUUGUGGAAAAUAUUUUUUUCCAUUUGUGUAUUAAAUAAAAUGAAUACAAACUUACAUGUUUCAUAAAUUGAAAGUUUACGAUACUAGUUAGAAAUUACUUCUUGCAGAAUAGCUUGGUAAUAAUCACCUUUGGUUUAAUCAAUAUCUAAAAAGUGAUAAAUAUUGAAAAAGUUGUUUUUCAUUUUUAAAGGCACCAAACUUGAUGGCAUAAAAAUAGGUUUUAUUUUAAUUCUGUAUUUUAAUUUACAUAAAAUGGAUAGACUGUGAGAUUAAAUCAUUUUAAAGUAAGCAUAUAGUAUUAUUUUAAUGUUUACCUAGGGUUGUUUUUAAAACAUUAUUGGACAAUCUUUAUUUAAAUCUUAUAUCCAUCUUCUCACAAAAAUCAGUUUGUGUAUCACAGUGACAUCUGUUACCCAGGAAGCUCUUUGGUAGCUUUUUCAGUCAAUCAAAGCUUAUCCCCUCACUUCUCCCCCUUUGAAGUAUGGGCCACACACUGAGGUCAGGGGAGAGAGACAUUUUGUCCCUUGAUAAGGGCUAAGUGUGGUCUGGGGAGAAAGAGGGGCUUUGCUCUGGGAAUGCUCCUGGCACAGAUGAGCAAGAGGACACAUCAUUGUCAGUUUAUUAUCAAGGUAUCUCUUCCCCCUUGAGGACAGCGCUAGCAUUUUUAAUCUUUGAUGAUUCACACUUGCCAAACAUCUCUUGUUCUCAUUUUGUUGCUCACAUUUGGAAGAAAAAGUUCGUCCAGUGACUGCCACAGAAUCAGAGAAACAUGUACCCAACUUAUCUGCCCUGCUGCAUUUCCUUUCCUGCUAAUUUUCCUUUUGGACACUUGAUACCUGGAAAUAAAAGCUUUCCUCUAACUAUUUAGGACACUGGACCCUAUGUUUCUAUUCAGUGACAUUUUUUAAAAAAGACAAUAAGAAUUGAACAAUUACUGCUAAUAUUUUUUUAAAUUUUACUUGAUAGACUUCAGUACCCCAAACUGGUAAAUAAGUUCCUGAAGUGCUGCAGUGUAAGGUGAUUAUCUGCUUUACUAUUUCCAAACACACUGAAGUCAACAGUGCCAGUGAGCACAACAGGGUGGCAGCAGACUGAUCCCCAGCAGAGAAACAAUCAGGUCUUGCAAUAAAGUUCAGCUGUGGGGCCAGGAAGGAAAGGUUGGCAUCCAGAUGCCAGUGCUUUGGAAAUCUUAUCUGGAGUUGCACAUUCAGCUUCCAGAUUGACACAGUUACCAUAGCAUGCGAAGACAGAGGCAUGGCUGUGUGUCUGGAUUUUUCUGCUAAGACAGCUGUCAAAAGCAGGGAUGUUGGCCAUAUAAAGUUCAUUUUCAGAGAUCCAGUCGGGAGCAUUUUGAGUGAUAGGUCUUGAGUACUCAUAGAGGCAUUGCUGAAUGUCCAUGGUAGGAGGGAAGUUGUUGGUGAAGAAUGUGUAUGUGCACUUGAGCACAUCUAUAAUUGUGGUUUCUGUGGCCAUUGUAAUGGUGCUCAGAGAAAAUUAGGACCAAGUGACUUUGGAUAAUGAAUUAAAUCAGUACAUGUUUUUCCAAAAAAACCCAACAAAAGUCUUCAUAGACCUAUUCUGCCGUAGAAAUCUAGUUAAUAGAUCUAAUAGUGACAGUAAACCAUAUUCUCCCCUUGCAUGUAAGAAAAAAAUGAUAGAGGCUUAAGUCCAUAAAUGAGUACUUGGCUUUCAUAAAGUACUUAUCACCUCAAAAUGGUCCCAGUAGCAAGCUGAAUGACUCAACAAAAGCAGUUCACCAUUUCAUCUCUGUUGUUCCCCAGAAUCCUUAAAGAGA